rnacentral:sRNA from 1 species
GCUGAGUGUGGUGGAGUAUGCCUGUAAUCCCAGUGACUCAGGAGGCUGAGAGAGGAGAAUUGCAAGUUUGAGGCCAGCCUCAGUAAUUUAGCAAGGCCCUAAGCAAUUUAGCAAGAUCAUAUCUCAA